AAGGAAGAUUGCCACACUUUGCAGUUUCUUUCCUGACCACUUCCAGAUUUGCUCCUUUCAUCUAAAACAAGCACUGGGGAGGUUUUAUUAUUUUUGUAUGCAGGGCAUGGGCAAGCAAAUGGCUUUGAAAUGAUACCUUCCUUCCUUCUUUUGUGGCCGCACAGUUUUGUCCCUAAGCAGGACUGUUGAACAUGGUGUUGCAGUACAGGUUGGUGUUUGGGGGCCCUUUCUGGGGGAAGUUGGGCCACCUGAGCCAAAGUGUUGCUUGUGCAAUAGAAUAUUUGCUGUUGUUCUGUGUGUACAGGUACACUCUGACCUCAGGCAACCCUGUCCUAGGGUUUCUUGGGCCAGACUCUUCAGCCUUCACCCUGCCAUUGCCAUCCUCUGAGACUGAGAAUGUGAUUUACUUAGGGCCUCUCAGUGUGUUUCCAGGCUAAUUCCUUGUCUUAACUCUCCAAUUCCUACGGCACGCUGGCUCUUUCUGAUUAUUUGUACGAUAAGUUGCCACAUUUCAGUUCUGAAGAGAGAAGUGUUUGGAUGAAUCUAUGUAUAUAUGUAUUGAAUAUACCUAUAUGUAUACACACGGGUUUUAAUUUUGCAGAUUUGAUUUCUCUAGAAAACUCAAGGUUCACCUGCAACAAUCCUGCGUGAGCUUGAUUGAACUUGAAAAUGUUGUUACAUGUGGCAUAGAUAACCUGCAGUCAUGAAGCUGAACAAAACUUGUACGCAGCAUGUAAAGUUGCAAAGGGCUUGCACAAAGUGUUGUCUCCCCUUGUUCAUGCCGCCAUUUUAUUUGUAGGCCCAAGAGUAGAAUACUUAAGAAAGAAGGCUCUUUAGUUUUCACACAGUUGUGGAACGCAUCUCGAGUUUGGACAGUGCCAUCGACAGACCGUCUUGCAAGGCAGAAGAUACAAAAUAAUCCCUUUGAAGAUGAUGUGCCAAAAAACAACCACAACCCAAGCACCUACUGUGAUUAUGCUUUCACAAGCUGAAGAAAGAAAGGCGGCAGCAGCCAAUAAAGAACAGGUAGCAACAGGCACCCACUUAUCCAAGAGGAAAGGAUCACAAGGACACCCUUCUCAAGGUAAACAAUAUGGGGAAGAUUGCGGGGAAACCUGGACAGAAGUUGUACAUUGGGAUUACAUAGCACAAACCUCUAGUGUGCUCAAAACCCUUCCACAGCUGUUACUACUGCUUCUUACUAGAGGAAUGGAGAGGGAGAGGAAGGUGAUUUCGGAGUAUCAAGAUACAACCGUUCUGAGCUUGUUGGGGAAAGAAGGUGGGUGA
rnacentral:lncRNA from 1 species